CUUGGUCAUUUAGAGGAAGUAAAAGUCGUAACAAGGUUUCCGUAGGUGAACCUGCGGAAGGAUCAUUAAAGAGUAAGGGUGCUCAGCGCCCGACCUCCAACCCUUUGUUGUUAAAACUACCUUGUUGCUUUGGCGGGACCGCUCGGUUCCGAGCCGCUGGGGAUUCGUCCCAGGCGAGCGCCCGCCAGAGUUAAACCAAACUCUUGUUAUUUAACCGGUCGUCUGAGUAAAAAUUUUGAAUAAAUCAAAACUUUCAACAACGGAUCUCUUGGUUCUCGCAUCGAUGAAGAACGCAGCGAAAUGCGAUAAGUAAUGUGAAUUGCAGAAUUCAGUGAAUCAUCGAAUCUUUGAACGCACAUUGCGCCCCUUGGUAUUCCGAGGGGCAUGCCUGUUCGAGCGUCAUUACACCACUCAAGCUAUGCUUGGUAUUGGGCGUCGUCCUUAGUUGGGCGCGCCUUAAAGACCUCGGCGAGGCCACUCCGGCUUUAGGCGUAGUAGAAUUUAUUCGAACGUCUGUCAAAGGAGAGGAACUCUGCCGACUGAAACCUUUAUUUUUCUAGGUUGACCUCGGAUCAGGUAGGGAUACCCGCUGAACUUAAGCAUAUCAAUAAGCGGAGGA
rnacentral:rRNA from 1 species